rnacentral:rRNA from 1 species
UACAGAGGUCUCAAGCGUUGUUCGGAUUCAUUGGGCGUAAAGGGUGCGUAGGCGGCGCGGUAAGUCGGAUGUGAAAUCUCGGAGCUUAACUUCGAAACUGCAUUCGAUACUGCCGUGCUUGAGGACUGGAGAGGAGACUGGAAUUUACGGUGUAGCGGUGAAAUGCGUAGAUAUCGUAAGGAAGACCAGUGGCGAAGGCGGGUCUCUGGACAGUUCCUGACGCUGGGGCACGAAGGUCAGGGGAGCAAACGGG